AUUGAACGCUGGCGGCAGGCCUAACACAUGCAAGUCGAGCGAGCGGCGGACGGGUGAGUAAUGUAUGGGGAUCUGCCUGAUGGCGGGGGAUAACUACUGGAAACGGUAGCUAAUACCGCAUACCAUCAGAUGAACCCAUAUGGGAUUAGCUAGUAGGUGGGGUAAAGGCUCACCAAGGCGACGAUCUAUAGCUGGUCUGAGAGGAUGAUCAGCCACACUGGGACUGAGACACGGCCCAGACUCCUACGGGAGGCAGCAGUAGGGAAUAUUGCACAAUGGGCGCAAGCCUGAUGCAGCCAUGCCGCGUGUAUGAAGAAGGUCUUAGGGUUGUAAAGUACUUUCAGCGGGGAGGCGUUACCCGCAGAAGAAGCACCGGCUAACUCCGUGCCAGCAGCCGCGGUAAUAC
rnacentral:rRNA from 1 species